CCUACGGGGGGCUGCAGUGGGGAAUAUUGGACAAUGGGGGGAACCCUGAUCCAGCCAUGCCGCGUGUGUGAAGAAGGCCCUCGGGUUGUAAAGCACUUUCAGUGAGGAAGAACGCCUGGUGGUUAAUACCCAUCAGGAAAGACAUCACUCACAGAAGAAGCACCGGCUAACUCCGUGCCAGCAGCCGCGGUAAUACGGAGGGUGCGAGCGUUAAUCGGAAUUACUGGGCGUAAAGCGCGCGUAGGUGGCUCGAUAAGCCGGUUGUGAAAGCCCCGGGCUCAACCUGGGAACGGCAUCCGGAACUGUCAAGCUAGAGUGCAGGAGAGGAAGGUGGAAUUCCCGGUGUAGCGGUGAAAUGCGUAGAGAUCGGGAGGAAUACCAGUGGCGAAGGCGGCCUUCUGGACUGACACUGACACUGAGGUGCGAAAGCGUGGGUAGCAAACAGGAUUAGAUACCCUUGUAGUC
rnacentral:rRNA from 1 species